ensembl:lncRNA
GCUAAAAUUGAGAUUUUUGUUUAUUUUCUAUGUAUAUACCAGCAAAAAAAAAAAAAAAAACUACUAACAAAUGUGAAACAAAAUACUUAGAAUAUGCAUAUAAAGGUUAUAUUAAUGCCGAAAAAUAUUUUAGUGAAGGUCUUGGUUAUUCCAGCAAUUUAAAUACAAAUAUAUGUACAAUGUUUCUGACUAUAGUGGCAAAUUAUGUGCAAAAAAGAAGAUAAACUCAAGCAAGAAGUGUGCUUCAACACUUCAGUUUGUUUCUCUUUGUGACCAUGUGAGGGCAGUGUGGUAUUUUGUUUAAAAGAAGAGUCACUGGCCUGUUCUACAACACUGAGCCACAUUUGAAAUUUCUUGCCUUGCUUCCUUUAUCUUCAUUCUCACAUAUUACUUCCUGAAUUAUCCCCCUCAAAUCUUACCCACCCAUUUAUUGUUUUCAAUUUUUUAUGCAACCACAGACUGGUACACCCCCCCCCCCCCGAACCACCCUUAAUCAAAUCAGAUCAGGGUUGUUUUAAAAAACAGCCCGCUUUAUAAGAUGUGUGUGUCGGUGUGUGUGUGCCUCAUGGGAGUUUGUCUCAUUUGGGUUCAUUUUUCUUCACUCCUGCCUUUAGUGGGUUGAACUCACUCACCCAGAUACCAUGAAAAGAGUCAAUUAUUACUGUGAGUAUACCCGAGAGAGAGAGAGAUAGGCAAGGCAAGGGUGAGAGCAACAAAUCUGCUGCGUGGCGGUUGUGUUUUGUAUUGAUUAGCAUUGUUUUGACAAUUGACUGGAAUUCAAUUCUCUCUUUGUUUUUCUUUGUUUUUCUUUGUUUUUCUUUGUUUUUCUUUCGCUGACCUCUGCCCCACUCCAUAUUCUCCCAUUAACCCAUGCAGGCAAUGAAUUGUAUCUUUAGCACUGACUUUUCUCUGACACUCACAGGUCAUUUAUCUUUUCCUUUCCCUCCCGUAUUUCUCACACUCCUCACCUAGUAUAACUUUAUCCAACUGAAAACUAUUGAUUUUUCCCCCUGCCAGUGUGUCAUCUGGGCUCUUCAAACAUUGACUGAUAUUCUGCUGUGAUAACAGGAACCCAAACUGGGACUCUUCAGACACACUUUGCCACCUUUUCCCGUUAUAUGGCUCUCUCAGAAGCAUUGCCAUUUUGUGGAAGUAUUGGAAAUGAGACCACUUGACCUCGAAAUGUGAUUCUUUUUCAGGAACAGCUUCUCCCUGAAUGCAUCUGGCCGUAUCAAUGAAGCCCACACGCAUACGCCACAUGCAGCCUGCCUUGCCUUUAAAAACAUAUUGAUUUCUCUCUUUCACAGGGAGCUUAAUGCGAUCGAUCGUCCAGGCUCUUUCAAGAUCAGUGCCAGUAUAAGGAUCUCUUCUUAUAACACACAUGCUGGCUCUUUCCCUUCAGCUAAUGAUUGUCCUUGGCCUGAGGGAAGAGUUUGUCUGCAUUAAGACAGAAAACUGUUUCUCUGGGCAUCCAUCCCCCUCCUCCUCCUCUCUCUGGUCCCCAGUAAUGCGGAUGAGUAUGGAACUUUUAAUUUCCUCUUUAACAAAAGGUAUGCCAGAUGCAGCACACACAUGCUUUGACCUUUAUCAAUCCUCACCACACCCCACUCCUUCUCCCCACCUGUCAGUGGAUCGAUACCUCUUUGUAUUUGCAAUGCAUUACACCCUUUCCCUCUUUUUAGAUUAAAAAAAGUUGGUCUUUCUCAAGUUCCCGUCUUGCAGGCAGG